ensembl:lncRNA
GUAGGUUCUGAUGAAGAUUGAAAGAAAUUACACCUUAGCCAGCACCUGGCCCGUGGGAGCACUCAAUACACCUUAGCUCCUUAAGAUUUUUACUCCAGACUUUUCACGUUCCAUUUUAUCCAGGGUAGAGCCAUAGUCUACUGUGAUAUUGUGAUUUAUAAUAAGAAAUAUAUUUUGGGGGUCUUUGUCCUGUUUCUGACACGGGAGCUCCUAAACCCUUGGAAUUUCCUAACAAGAGUGAUAAAGGUGUCUUCUGUUAUUCAUAACAAGCCCCUAUCAACCACACCUGAGUUUAUACUAAUUCGAGGACUUCUGGAAAGUCCCUCAGGAGGGGGAGCUGGUUGCCAGGGGAAAUCAACCACGUGAUUGGAGGGUUGCAACUUUCAGCCCCACCUCCCGAGCUCCAGGGAGGGGAGAGGGGCUGGAGAUUGAGCUUAUAUAAUCAAACCUCCAUAAAAACCCAAAAGGAUGGGGGUUCAGAGCACUUCCAAGUCGGUGAACACAUGAAGGUGCUGGAAGGUGGCAUGCCCAGACAGGACAUGAAACCUCCACGUCCCUCCACAUACCUUGCCCGACGCAUCUCUUCCAUCUGGCUGUUCCUGAGUUAAAUCCUUAUAUAACAUACCAGGACUCUAGAAGAUUAGCCCUGAGCUAACAUCUGCUGCCGAUCCUCCUCUUUUUGCUGAGGAAGACUGGCCUCGAGUCAACACCUGUGCCCAUCUUCCUCUACUUUAUAUGUGGGACGCCUACCCCAAUAUGGCUUGCUAAGUGGUGCCAUGUCUGCACCCGGGAUCCGAAGCGGCGAACCCCAGGCUGCCGAAGCAGAAUGUGCGAACUCAACCUCUGCGCCACUGGGCCGGCCCCUAAAGGAGUAUUUUUAAAAGCAGAAUGGGUGAUAGUCUGCCCCAAGCACACUAUUAAUAGAAUAGUUGUUUGAGCAAAGAUAGAUUGUCUGUGUGCUCGGGGGGAGGGGUGCCAAAAUCAAUCAAUCAAUAAAAUAAAUAAUCCGCCCUCUAUGAGGGGCUACACCUCCCACAGGCCUCUGAGAGAGAAGUGUGUCCUCAGGUCCUUGGCCCGUGUGCAGGAAGGACACAGGGCCCACCAACACUCUGGCAAACAGACGGGAUGGAGUAGCUAAAUCCCUCAGUACAGCCCACCUCGGAAGAGGAGAAGACAGCUGCUCGGCUGGUUAUGCCAGCUGAAUCCAGGGCCAAGGGGGAAGGCUACUUGGUCCCCGGUCCACAAAAGCAGGGACUGUAGGAUUCACCCAUGUCCUGGCAGAAGAGCGCAUGCGAUGGCAGAAAACCUGGCUCCUGCCCAUUUCCAGCUUCCAAAGAGGGAGGAAGAUGCAGGUGACAGGGCACCCUGGGGAGGCCAGCGUUCCAGUUAUUCAGAGCUCUGGCCUAACCCACCUGAAAGGGAGGGGCCAGGGCUCCGACAGAGGGUUGGGACGGGGAGCCCUCCCUCCCGAUUCCAAGGAGAGAGGAAGGUGUAGUUUGUGGGGGCCGGAAGUGGCUGGCUGCACGGCUGAGGAGAACAGCAGUGGGGAGCAUUUCAGCGGAAGGCCAGGGCUGCGUAGAGUGGAGAGCCAUGAGUGGAACGUCAGACCCCGCAGAGGGCUACAGUGCGGUAGGACCUGGCUUUAGAAGAGGACCCUAGAAAAACAGCCUGUGUGGAAAAGCCUGACUGUUCAAAAGGGGUAUGACUGCAGGGGCAGACUCAGGCCCACCAAGAGCCUAGGAAGUGAAGCCCCUUAAAUGAGAGCAGCUGGGACACCCUCCCGCAAGGGCCUACUGUGAAUGGGAAGGAGAUCCAGAACCAUUUAGAUCACUUUUACCAGAGGAAGCACUGAGUGAAUGGGGUCACUGACGGAGGCAAAACUGAACAGACCGGGUCUAGCAGGAUGGACCUGGCUCGGACAUCUGCCACUGUGGGAAAGGGACAGCAAUCCUCGGACGAGCCAAGUGGCAUGUACCCAUCUGCUAACUCCUACGGCUUGCUUUGCCUCCAACAUGAGCCAGGAGGAGGGAUGGCGGGAGACAGAUAGGCUGGCCAGGCCUGGCAGGCUUCGGCUUGCCCUGCAGGGGGUGCCAUGACGCAGGACUGGCACGGGCCCAGAGCAUACCUGUUGCUAAACCCAGAUUCCUGAGAUGCCAGUUACCUUGUGUCUGCUAGUUGCCUUGUGUAGCCUCAGAUGGCUUUUUGGACCUUAUGUCGUGGCCUCAGAGGAUCUUUGGGGAUGAAGGGAAUCCUGACCAGGGUGUUAAAGGAUGCAGGGCCCCGGAGACCAGGGAAAAGGUGGCAAAAGUCACUUGUGGCAAAUCUCAAGGGGAAGGGCACUCUGGAGGACUUAGGGUCCUGCUGUCCCUUCCCACAGCCAGGGUCUCCCCUCCCCUACUCCCCGUAUCAGAGGAGGCUGACCUAGACUAGUAGUGUUCCUUAAAGACGAGGGCACAGAGGGAAGCAAUGGUGGAGGCAACCUGGGAUCUCAGCUGCCUCCUUGGUCCUAGGGUUACUGCUGGGACUGUCCAGCCAGACUCCAAGCUCCUCUCUAGCCCACCCCAUCCUGUGGUCUGGGAAAGUGGAAGCUCCAGAAAGUGGUUUGCCAACAAAAGCUUAAGAAGGAUUAACCAACCAGGAGGAAACUCCUUUCUCACAUUUUCAUAGAUGAACUCAUUUCAACCUCAAUCAUGAUGC